UACGUAGGGUGCAAGCGUUAAUCGGAAUUACUGGGCGUAAAGCGUGCGCCAGGCGGUGAUGUAAGACAGGUGUGAAAUCCCCGGGCUUAACCUGGGAACUGCAUUUGUGACUGCAUGGCUAGAGUGCGGCAGAGGGGAUGGAAUUCCGCGUGUAGCAGUGAAAUGCGUAGAUAUGCGGAGGAACACCGAUGGCGAAGGCAAUCCCCUGGGCCUGCACUGACGCUCAUGCACGAAAGCGUGGGGAGCAAACAGG
rnacentral:rRNA from 1 species